UACGAAGGGGGCUAGCGUUGCUCGGAAUCACUGGGCGUAAAGGGUGCGUAGGCGGGUCUUUAAGUCAGGGGGGAAAUCCUGGAGCUCAACGCCAGAACUGCCUUUGAUACUGAGGAUCUUGAGUUCGGGAGAGGUGAGUGGAACUGCGAGUGUAGAGGUGAAAUUCGUAGAUAUUGGGAAGAACACCGGUGGCGAAGGCGGCUCACUGGCUCGUAACUGACGCUCAUGCACGACAGCGUGGGGAUCAAACAGG
rnacentral:rRNA from 1 species